rnacentral:rRNA from 1 species
GUAGGGAAUAUUCCACAAUGGGCGAAAGCCUGAUGGAGCAACGCCGCGUGCAGGAUGAAGGCCUUCGGGUUGUAAACUGCUUUUAUAUGUGAAGAAUAUGACGGUAACAUAUGAAUAAGCCUCGGCUAACUCCGUGCCAGCAGCCGCGGUCAUACGGAGGAGGCGAGCGUUAUCCGGAUUUACUGGGCGUAAAGAGUUGCGUAGGCGGUUUAUCAAGCGAAUAGUGAAAUCAUGUGGCUUAACCAUACUGACUAUUAUUCGAACUGGUAAACUUGAGAACGAGAGGGGUGAUUGGAAUUCUCGGUGUAGGAGUGAAAUCCGUAGAUAUCGGGAGGAACACCAAUGGCGUAGGCAGAUCACUGGCUCGUUUCUGACGCUAAGGCACGAAAGCGUGGGUAGCAAACGGGAUUAGAAACCCUAGUAGUCC